CUGUGUCAGCUUCUCAACGCCAGAUCGUCGUGGUUUCACCCUGCACGUAUCCAGCCUCUGUUACCUGUCUGUUUCCCGUAUAACCUGUCUGCCUGCCUGCCUGUUGACGACCCUGUGUUCCGGAACCUGGAUAUUCGCCUCUGCUCGUUCCCUCACUGGUAACUCUGCCUCCGCUAAUAUUUGGACCCCCUGUAUGUUUGACCCCUGGACUGCUCUCUGGAAUCUCCCUUUAGAUCACGGACUUGGUUUUUGCUGCU